AUUUUAUAAAAAAUUUCAUUCAUCAUUGCAUUAUCAUGUGCAUAAAAUAUAUCGUUGGGAUUCAGUUUUUUCGAUUUUUAGUUUUGUUUUAUAUUUUUGUGUGCGCAAAUCAACACCAAGUUUCGACAAACAAUUUUUGUAUUUUGUAUGAGUGGAGCGAACGCAAAUUCGAUGUGGAAGAAAAAUAGAUAAAAGAGAAAAAUAGUAUUAAUAAAAAUUCGAAAAUGCAAACAGAGUACAAAAAAAAUCGAACAUAAUGUUUCAUAAACAUAUUCAUUCCAUAUGAAGAAUAUGGCAUACGAUGAAGUAUGGAACAAACGGACUGAUAAUUCUACUCUUAAAUACGCAUCAUGAAUCCUACUGACAAAGUAAAUUAAUUGAUUUGGUAGAAGCUAAUACAAACUCUUCAAAUCAAAAUACAAUAACCUUCGCUUAUAAAUCGUCAGAACUCGGAUAGUGCUGAUAGAAAAUGCAACUGGUAUAAAUAUAAUUCACUGGUAUAAAGCAAAAAGAAAUAAAAAUCAGGCAUUUAUAUAACUUUAAUGAGGUAACCACAAACUCUCUUGUAAUAAAUUCAACUCGCUUAACUUAUUAUCGCUUUCACUUACGUUCGAAGAUAGCGAACAGAGAAAUGGCGAAUCGAAGAUGGCUAUUACAGCUUGAUUUUUAUUUUAAAGCGCAUAUCUUUUGAGAAGACAGCACGUAAGCUCUACAGAAACCAUGGAGUGGCGAAUCGAAGACUACUAUUAAAUUUUUUAUGUGAUAUGUUAAAUAGUGAAUACUGUAUCCAAAAUAAGAAAACAAAAACAAAAUUUCGCUAACUAAAAAAAUUAUGAUGUUUGUCGUGAUAUACAUAGAGUCUAAUUAGCGCAUAACCUUUAUUAUGACAUUCAGAUUUUGCCAAGUCAGUACUCUAAUUUAUGAGUAUUUGAAACACACGAAUAUAUUUAACUUGACUUCUUAAUUAAGGUUUGUCUUUCAAAACAACAAAAUCUUUGUAAACAGAUAAGAGUUUUAUUUUAAUAUGAUUGUUACAAAAAGUUUGAGAUCUUUAUCAGUGCGGUUUCCAUUUACCCAUAAGUGCAUAUAUACAUAAGUGCCAUUAAAUGUAUGUAUAUAGGUAUAUAUGCAUGUAUAUAGUAAAUAUUAUAUAUUGUUGAGUAUUUGUUUUGUAAGUAGGUAUGAUUUAGAUAAUUUUUUUAAUUAAAUAUGUAUAUAAUUGUGCAAACAUUAUUAAAAGCUUGGUAGCCACGCUUUCGAAGCAUGAAAUGAAGCUAGAAAUACACGUCAAUUUACAUACACAGAGUAUAAUUAAUAUUAUAUAAUUAUUUUUAAUUAUACUUAGAAGCGGGAUAUAAUUUGAUAAAAAACGAGCAAAAUAGAAUAAAUGUAUAUUUAAGUCGUAAUAACAAAUACACUUGUAUGUAUGUAUGUAUUUAUCU